CUCCGCUUGGUGUAGUUGGCUAUCACGUCGGGCUGUAAUAGAACCAUUAAACCUGAAGGUCGCCUGUUCGAUUCAGGCAGCGGAGA